UUCGCCCUUCGGUUGAUCCUGCCGGACCCGACUGCUAUCAGAGUGGGACUAAGCCAUGCGAGUCAGCAUAGCAAUAUGUGGCAUACGGCUCAGUAACACGUAGUCAACAUGCCCAGGGGACGUGGAUAACCUCGGGAAACUGAGGAUAAACCGCGAUAGGUCAUCACUUCUGGAAUGGGUAAUGACUUAAAUCUACAUGGCCCCUGGAUUGGACUGCGGCCGAUCAGGCUGUUGGUGAGGUAAUGGCCCACCAAACCUGUAACCGGUACGGGCUCUGAGAGGAGGAGCCCGGAGAUGGGCACUGAGACAAGGGCCCAGGCCCUAUGGGGCGCAGCAGGCGCGAAACCUCUGCAAUAGGCGAAAGCUUGACAGGGUUACUCUGAGUGAUUUCCGUUAAGGAGAUCUUUUGGCACCUCUAAAAAUGGUGCAGAAUAAGGGGUGGGCAAGUCUGGUGUCAGCCGCCGCGGUAAUACCAGCACCCCGAGUGGUCGGGACGUUUAUUGGGCCUAAAGCAUCCGUAGCCGGUUCUACAAGUCUUCCGUUAAAUCCACCUGCUUAACAGAUGGGCUGCGGAAGAUACUAUAGAGCUAGGAGGCGGGAGA
rnacentral:rRNA from 1 species